rnacentral:rRNA from 1 species
AGUAGGGAAUAUUGCACAAUGGAGGAAACUCUGAUGCAGCGACGCCGCGUGAGUGAUGAAGGCCUUCGGGUUGUAAAACUCUGUGAUAAGGGAAGAUGAUGACGGUACCUUAUCAGAAAAGACCGGCUAACUUCGUGCCAGCAGCCGCGGUAAUACGAGGGGUCUAAGCGUUGUUCGGAAUCACUGGGCGUAAAGCGGGUGUAGGUGGCUAAGCCAGUCACAUGUGAAAGCCCCGGGCUCAACCCGGGAAGUGCAUGUGAUACUACUUAGCUUGAGUACGGGAGAGGGAAGCAGAAUUCCUGGUGUAGUGGUGAAAUACGUAGAUAUCAGGAGGAACACCGGUGGCGAAGGCGGUUUCCUGGCCCAGUACUGACACUCAGACCCGAAAGCGUGGGUAGCAAA